UACAGAGGGUGCAAACGUUGUUCGGAAUCACUGGGCAUAAAGCGCACGUAGGCGGCUGAUCAAGUGCGAGGUGAAAGCCCACGGCUCACCCGUGGAAUUGCUUUGCAUACUGGUCAGCUUGAGUACGGGAGAGGAGAGCGGAACUCUUGGUGGAGCGGUGAAAUGCGUAGAUAUCAAGAGGAACACCAGAGGCGAAGGCG
rnacentral:rRNA from 1 species